rnacentral:rRNA from 1 species
CAGUAGCCACGGUAAAACGUAGGGUGCGAGCGUUAAUCGGAAUUACUGGGCGUAAAGGGCUCGCAGGCGGUUUCUUAAGUCUGAUGUGAAAGCCCCCGGCUCAACCGGGGAGGGUCAUUGGAAACUGGGAAACUUGAGUGCAGAAGAGGAGAGUGGAAUUCCACGUGUAGCGGUGAAAUGCGUAGAGAUGUGGAGGAACACCAGUGGCGAAGGCGACUCUCUGGUCUGUAACUGACGCUGAGGAGCGAAAGCGUGGGGAGCGAACAGGAUUAGAUACCCCGGUAGUCCCUGUCUCUUAUAC